GAUUAAAAAUUCAUUAAAAUCGUAGUAUUGUUGUUGCUGCUGCUGUGCUGCUGUUGUAUUGUUGUCUUCACUUCAAUCAGGAAACAAUGUUCAAAGUUGUAUUUUUUUUUCUUUUUGUAGUAACUUUUUGUUGUUGUCUUUUUUAAUAGAAACUCUUGGGUUUUGUCAUAAUUUCAUUACUAUACCAAAAACAGCUAAAAGGCGAUACACGCGAAUGCGUUUAACAGCUCGUAAAACGUAAAACGUAAUGCGGAAUUGUUUGUUACCGAAUUACCGAAAAUCAAAUUUGUGAAUCGAAACGAAUAAUCAAAAUUGGAAAAUCAGGGCAAACGAGAAUUUUUCGAAACGAAACGAAACGGGAGAAAAACUUAAUCGAAACGAAAAGAACAAACGCGUCAAAUUGUCUUUUGUAUCACAUCACACACAAAUGUUUUUGCAUUAAUUAAUAAACAUUUUCCAUCAUUUGCUGUUGUUGUCUUUUUUUUGGUUUUGUUUGUGUUUUGUUGGUUGUUCUCCAAAUGUGUUUUAUGAGUUUUAUUGUUGCUGCUGUUUGCACGUUUUCCACACACUAAUUCGAAAAAAUGUUUCUCUGUUUUUGAAUGUUCUCGUUUUUUUGGGACGUUUUGCGGCCGACGCGUCUGAGAUUUGCCAACAAACUGAUGCCAAACGGAAGCCGUCCAAAUGUUUUUCAUGACACU